GCGAACGCUGGCGGCAGGCCUAACACAUGCAAGUCGAGCGGCCGUAGCAAUACGGCAGCGGCAGACGGGAUAGUAACACGUGGGAACGUGCCCUUUGGUUCGGAAUAACUCGGCGAAAGCCGUGCUAAUACCGGAUAAGCCCUUACGGGGAAAGAUUUAUCGCCAUUGGAGCGGCCCGCGUCUGAUUAGCUAGUUGGUGAGGUAAUGGCUCACCAAGGCGACGAUCAGUAGCUGGUCUGAGAGGAUGAUCAGCAUCACUGGGACUGAGACACGGCCCAGACUCCUACGGGAGGCAGCAGUGGGGAAUAUUGGACAAUGGGGGAAACCCUGAUCCAGCCAUGCCGCGUGAGUGAUGAAGGCCUUCGGGUUGUAAAGCUCUUUCAGAUGUGAAGAUAAUGACGGUAGCAUCAGAAGAAGCUCCGGCUAACUCCGU
rnacentral:rRNA from 1 species